GAUGAACGCUGGCGGCGUGCCUAAUACAUGCAAGUCGAGCGAAUAGAUAAGGAGCUUGCUCCUUUGACGUUAGCGGCGGACGGGUGAGUAACACGUGGGUAACCUACCUAUAAGACUGGAAUAACUCCGGGAAACCGGGGCUAAUGCCGGAUAACAUUUAGAACCGCAUGGUUCUAAAGUGAAAGAUGGUUUUGCUAUCACUUAUAGAUGGACCCGCGCCGUAUUAGCUAGUUGGUAAGGUAACGGCUUACCAAGGCAACGAUACGUAGCCGACCUGAGAGGGUGAUCGGCCACACUGGAACUGAGACACGGUCCAGACUCCUACGGGAGGCAGCAGUAGGGAAUCUUCCGCAAUGGGCGAAAGCCUGACGGAGCAACGCCGCGUGAGUGAUGAAGGUCUUCGGAUCGUAAAACUCUGUUAUUAGGGAAGAACAAAUGUGUAAGUAACUGUGCACGUCUUGACGGUACCUAAUCAGAAAGCCACGGCUAACUACGUG
rnacentral:rRNA from 1 species